UCAUGGUCUUGCAAGAAAACUAUA
rnacentral:siRNA from 1 species